rnacentral:rRNA from 1 species
CUACGGAGGAUGCGAGCGUUAUCCGGAUUUAUUGGGUUUAAAGGGUGCGUAGGCGGACAAAUAAGUCAGUGGUGAAAUCACUCAGCUUAACUGAGUAACUGCCAUUGAUACUGUUAGUCUAGAAUGUAAAUGGAGUAGGCGGAAUGAAUCAUGUAGAGGUGACAUUCAUAGAUAUGAUUCAGAACACCGAUCGCGAAGGCAGCUUGCUAAGAUACAAUUGACGCUGAGGCACGAAAGCGUGGGUAGCAAACAGGAUUAGAUACCCUGGUAGUCCACGCUGUAAACGAUGAUAACUCGUUGUCGGCGAUACACAGUCGGUGACUGAGCGAAAGCGAUAAGUUAUCCACCUGGGGAGUACGAUCGCAAGGUUGAAACUCAAAUGAAUUGGCGGGG